GAGGGUGUGGUGUAUGGUGCACGCUCCCUCUCUUUGCUAAAGAAUAUUCAGAAUGCAUGGGAGAGGACCAGGUUCGAUUCCUGGCGCCCGAA